rnacentral:tRNA from 1 species
GGGCGAUUAGCUCAGUUGGUUCAGAGCACUUGGUUUACACCCAAGGGGUCAUAAGUUCGAAUCUUAUAUCGCCCACUA